rnacentral:rRNA from 1 species
CGGCGGACGGGUGAGUAACACGUGGAUAACCUACCUAUAAGACUGGGAUAACUUCGGGAAACCGGAGCUAAUACCGGAUAAUAUAUUGAACCGCAUGGUUCAAUAGUGAAAGACGGUUUUGCUGUCACUUAUAGAUGGAUCCGCGCCGCAUUAGCUAGUUGGUAAGGUAACGGCUUACCAAGGCAACGAUGCGUAGCCGACCUGAGAGGGUGAUCGGCCACACUGGAACUGAGACACGGUCCAGACUCCUACGGGAGGCACAGGC